rnacentral:rRNA from 1 species
UACGUAGGUGGCAAGCGUUGUCCGGAUUUACUGGGCGUAAAGAGCGCGCAGGCGGUCGAUCAAGUCGCGUGUGAAAGCCCCCGGCUCAACUGGGGAGGGUCACGCGAUACUGAUCGACUCGAAGGCAGGAGAGGGUAGUGGAAUUCCCGGUGUAGUGGUGAAAUGCGUAGAUAUCGGAAGGAACAUCAGUGGCGAAAGCGACUCCUGGACCAAUACUGACGCUCAUGUGCGAAAGCGUGGGGAGCAAACAGGG